AGAGCGAACGCUGGCGGCAGGCUUAACACAUGCAAGUCGAGCGCCCCGCAAGGGGAGCGGCAGACGGGAGAGUAACACGUGGGAACGUACCUUUCGGUUCGGAACAACCCAGGGAAACUUGGGCUAAUACCGGAUACGCCCGCAAGGGGAAAGAUUUAUCGCCGGAAGAUCGGCCCGCGUCUGAUUAGCUAGUUGGUGAGGUAACGGCUCACCAAGGCGACGAUCAGUAGCUGGUCUGAGAGGAUGAUCAGCCUCACUGGGACUGAGACACGGCCCAGACUCCUACGGGAGGCAGCAGUGGGGAAUAUUGGACAAUGGGCGCAAGCCUGAUCCAGCCAUGCCGCGUGGGUGAUGAAGGCCCUAGGGUUGUAAAGCCCUUUCGGCGGGGAGGAUAAUGACGGUACCCGCAGAAGAAGCCCCGGCUAACGUUCGCGCCAGCAGCCGC
rnacentral:rRNA from 1 species